UUGUGUUUGUGUGCACAUAAAUGCAUGAGUUGUUGUUUUUUUGUCACAGGAAAUAGUGUUAAAUUGUGGACCGUGUGGUCAAACAUGAUUAUAUAGUCAGUAUCUGUUUUUACAAUUUACAAUCGUAGUUAUGUAAAUUAUAUACAGUGGACGAUUUUACCAUCUCUGCAUUGCUAAUUGACUAAUUUGGCUCUUAAGUUAAAAAGCAAUGCUUUAACGUAUG